rnacentral:lncRNA from 1 species
UAACAUCUAUAGUAUACUCAGCUUCUAUUGAUCGAUUUCUUGGAAUCCUUCUAAGAUAUCGAUAAGAACACACCCAUGAGGUAGACAUUCUACCAUCAACGACUGACAUAAAGUCUGAAUUGGUGUAUCCUCCCACUCCUAGCUUUGAUCUUUCUCUAAAUUAAGAACAAAUCUUUAGUUCUUCUUAAGAACUUAAGGAUGUUUUCACAGUAAUCCAGUGCUCUCAGUUUGGAUACAACUGAUAUCUAUUCAUGAUAUUCACAGUAUUAUCUAUAUCAGUUUAAGUACAUUACAUGAUAUAUAUUUAUGUCC